ACUCAUACCUGGCCCAGAGGAUCACGGAGGCGGUUCCCCCAAGACGAAGCCCUUCCAUUGCGCUGGGGUUAGAUUGGUCCAUACGAUUACCCUAAAUGUGGGUAGCUCUGUAGUACAAUUGUUGAUAGCGAGAUAGUUUUUGUUUGCGGUUCAAUCCCA